rnacentral:lncRNA from 1 species
AGUUUUUUUAAAGGUAUAUGGUAGUUCAUACAGGACUUCAGCCUUUUUUUUUUUCAGAUGGGAUGUUGUAAUUGGUCUUGUUUUUCCUCCUAAACUGCUGCUUCUGAGCAUGGCCUUAAUUUUAGUUUCCUGCAAAAGUGAUUGUUGAAAGAUUGUGUCAUAGUUGGAACAGCAUCAGGAGUACAUGUGAGGCCUCAUACCCUAACUUCAGUUUCAAGUUUGCUGGAUACAAAAUUACAACAUGUAUCACAACUUUCUUCUUUUUCUUGGCUAAGGGGGCAGAGGGUGUACGUGACCACAGGGGGUGAACAUGACCAAUGCAAGAGUAUGAAAGAAUGUGACUGGGUGAAGUGACUAUGAGAAUGUUUCAUGUUGAGAAAUUUUCUGUAGCAGAUAUAAAGUAACAGUCUUGCAUAUUACGGGGGGGGGGGGGGGGGGAGGGAGAGAGAGAGAGCGAGGGAGAGAGAGCGAGCCUGAGCAGGCCAGCCCACAAGAUUGAGAUAACUGACUUUGACAUAUUUCUCUUUAGUGAUUAUUAUAUACAUAGAGAGUUGUUGUGGAAAAUAUCUCGAAUCCAGUAGAUGUGUGGUGUGUGUUAUAUAGUUUUCUUUUAAAUAAAUAAACAAGCCACCUUUCAUGUAACCUCAGGAUAUACUAUAUUAAAUACUAAUAGCUUUAAAUAGUAAGGUUGAAACCAGUAUCUUGAUUGUUAGUUUGCUCAGCUAUUGACAUGAUAUUCCUAUAAAAAUAAUCAAUUAAGCAUAAUAUCAAUGCAUAGGAAUACUAAACUGGAUACCAGGAUUUUAAAAAUAUUCAUGUUCAGGCUCUAUUAUAGCUUAGUGCAGUUGGCUAUUUUGCAUUAGUUUCAAGCACAGUUUUAAAACAUGGAAGUGCACAGAAUAUUCCAGAAGCUGGGGAAAAUGUUAACAUUGGAAUCCAGUCAGCAAGCUUGAAAAGUUCACAUAAAGAGCUGUCUGUGUUUCUUGAAGAAGUUUUUCCUUUCCGUGGGAGGGGGAAAGGUCUGUGGUAUAAAUUUACUUAAUAUGAUGUCAGUUGCAUAAAGCCAGCUAUGAAUAAUUAUAUUAAUAUUUGAUUUUUAGUUGUCUUCUUGAGCCUUUAUUGGUUGUGAGGAAACUAAUUAGAUGGUUCAUUAUAAAGGAUCCUGUGUUCCUUUACACAGGUAAAGGUAGCGGUGCAUCCUAUGGAGCAUUCAAAUAAAUCAUUUGGUGCGUGUUUCCCUCUAAUAUCCACAAGUUAGAAGAUUUUGAAAUAGGAAAAUACACUAAUAUGAUAGGUGGUAACAUUCUAUGUAUUUUAAUCUAUAUUUAUAGUUUAAAAUUUCUUUGUUAUAUUUAAUUUUUAAUUAAAAAUUGACAUACAAAAUGACUAUACAUAUUUAUGGGAUAUGCCUAAAGCCUUGUUGAUUUAUUUUUUUUGAAAACUUUUUUAUAGCCUAGCUGUGGUAGUGCACACUUUUAAUCCAGCUCUCAGCACUUGGGAGACUGGCAGGCGGAUCUCUGUGAAUUCCAGGCUAGUCUGUCUUAUAGAGUGAGUUCCAGAGCAGCUGAGGCUACAUAGAGAAACCCUGUCUCAAAAAACAGAAAACCUCCCAACUCAAACCAAGCCGAACCAAAAGCAAACAAAACCCAAAACAACAAAACACUUUUUCAUAAUGUAUGUUUUCAUCAUAUCGUUCUUCUUCCCCAAAUCCUCUCAGAUUCUCCCCACCUCUCUACACACGUGGAUUAUAUUUUCUUUCUUUAGACAGAAGAAAACAAAGAUCCAAAAUCAAACCAUU